rnacentral:lncRNA from 12 species
AGGAACACCCCCAUCUCCCUCCUUGGCUCUGCACGCCUCUCGGCCACGCGGGGCUCGGAAGACAGCCCGAAAGGCUCCCCGAGGCUGGGGAGGACGGGAGGGGAGGCCGCGGGGAGCGGAGGUGGUGGUGGGGGUGAGACUUUGACGGAAAAAAAAAAAAAAAAAAAAAGGUCAAACUUGCUCAGCCCGCCAGGCACCCCGCGGGCAGCGGAGGCGAGGAACCCGAGGGGAAAUGUAGAAGUGGCCGCCGCCCCCUCCAAGUGUGUGUGUGGGGGAGGACUCAGACACGCGUGGGCCAGGGCAGCAGCUACCGUAGCCCCCAAAACACCGCGCUGCGGGGGUCCGCCGGGGGAGUGUGCGCCGCAGACCUCCAAUCAGCCGCCCCCGCGGGCGGAGCGCCCGCCCGGCACCAAGAGUGAUCUGCGACCGCGCCGACUGCGGCUUGGGGAGGCUUGGGUACAGCAGCGGCCACCAAGCCAUCCCCGGCGCCGGGGCUCCCAGGGUCCAGGGCUCCGUGGCUCCGGCUGCGGGCGCCCCCCGCCCCUCCCAGACACGGACCCCUCCUUCCCGGUCCCUGGCUCUCCGCACCUGAACUUCGGGGGAGCCCGCGCCGCCAAACUUUCCGCCGACUUGCAGCGAACUCCGGCCCCGGCCGCGCACCGGGCCCCGGGGGAGGAGAGGGAGGUAGGCGGGGAAGGGGAGGGGGCCGGCCUCGGGGGGGUCGGGGGAGGGCCGUGGCCCGACACCUACCGGCUCUCAGGAGUCCUCCGAGCCGCCACGGCCGCCGCCGCCGCGAGGCCGAGGGGGAGGGGUGGGGCGGGGAGCUGCGCUCCGCUCCGGGCACCACCGCCGCGGUGCGCUCCGCUCCAGCCGCGCCGCCUCCUUGCCCGGGUCCGGAGCCGGAGUCACGCCGCCGCGGCUGGCCCGAGGCGGGGAGGGGGGGGAGCCCGCAGCACCUGCCCCUCCUCCCCCUCCCCGCGGCCCAAAUUAAAAAACAACAAAAAGCAACUAAUCACCCCCGAGCGAAGCGCGGCGCGGCGGGCGGAGAGCGCAGCGUGAGGCGUCCGGACUCAGCAGGCGGCGCGCAUGGCCGGGCGCGGGCUGGGCAGGGCUGGGACGCGGGCCCCGGCUUCGGGGGGCAAGGUUCGGCCGCUCCACUCGCUCGGCUCGGGCGCCUGCUCUCGCCGCCGCCGCCUCUGCCGCCGCCACCGCCGCCGCCUCUACAUCGCCGCUCAGGCUCCGCCGCCUCUGCCGCCGCCGCCGCCGCCGCGCGCCCGCCCGGGCAGGAGCUCUGAACGCUGCCCGGGGGCUGCCAGCAAAACCCGGACCGGACUCGGCGCUCCCUCCUCCCCCCCCACCUCGGCUCCCCUCCCUCCUCCCUCCGCCUCCCUCCCAGCGCUGCUCUGGCCACUUGGACGCCGCAGGCUCUGAGGCCGGAGCCGCAGCCACUGCGCCUCGAGCUCCCCGCGCUCCGACGAGGUCGGCCCGGGCUCAGCUCCCCCAGCGCGCCCCGUCUUCGUCUCUUUUUUCCGCAACUUUACAAAAAAUAAGAGGACCUUCCCCGUUUUGUGAGGGAUGCGUGGGCUUGGCAGCCUACCUUACGGCGAAACCCGCCGUCUCUCUGCCCCUUCCCUUCCGCGGGCCGGAAGCGACAGGGACCGGGAGGGAGGGUUUGGCCGCGCCCCUCAGCUCAGGUGCGCGAAGGACCUGCAACUCCUAGCCUUGGGCACCUGGAGCGACGCUCGGUUCAAAGACCCCACCCUUCCCGAACGCUUUCCGGGACUCAGUGGGCUCUAGUGCUCCGGGAGAGAAGGGGCAGAGAUACCUGCCCCCAUUUUACAAAUGAGAAAACCGAUCUGAGACGGGACAUUUUGUCUCCUACGCCCGCACCGGCCCAAGCCCUGACUGUUGGGGCUAAGGCAGCUACACUGUAGUUCCGUGAGACCGUGGCCUAGAGACUCGGCUCGGAGCCUGAAACAGUGCCUGGCACAGAGCAGCACUCAGUAGAAACUGAUUGAAAGAGAACAAAAGCCCAGUGGGUACAGAUUUGCGCCCGGAUGUCCUUGCCCUCACUCACUAUCCCCUCCAUCUGCGCAGUUUGGGCUAAUCCUAAAGCUGCAGAUGUUUUCUCUUCACCUCAGGGACCCACAGAGCAAGCCCCGGGCUCAUAUAAUCCCAAACUGCAGAUAAUCCCAAAGUGGGAAGUUUCUCUGAUUCUGUGGAAUCGGUAGGAUGGGUUUAUGUUUCCUCCAGGCAGAAGAAACAGACUGGAGACCCUAAUGGGGGAGGAGCAGGGCGGCUGGGGAAGUCUGUCUAGGGUUAAAUGUACAGUCCCAAAUUGAUUCUGGCCCAGAGAACAGGGAGUUAACUGCCUCUACUGGGUGCCUCCAGCCACAGGCACAGCCUUGGUGGGAGAACUGAAACCAGCUCCCACCUCACUGUUUCCUCUCUUCCUCUGUGUGGCCAGCCUGUCUCAAAGGCUGGAGAGGGCCUUUGGGGCCUGGGUCUUCUGGGAGCAGCCUCUGGUGCCCAUUCUCCAAGCCUUCUAAUGUAAUGUGGUCUUGGGACCUUAAACUAGCCAGGCAUAGGGGAGUUAGGGAGGUGUCAAAGGGCAGAGUUCAUCUGAAAUGUGUUGCUUCUCUACUCAUCCUGACCUCCAAGCCACAGGCAGUGGCCUCUCUGCAGGCAUCAUGGACACCACCUCGCUUCCACAAAUGCUGAGAAGUGUCCUCCCUUAACUAAAUGCCAAGAAUGGCUCCAAAGGGAGGUAUUUAACCCCUCCUGUCUUCUCCUCUCCACUCCUCCCCGCUUUUUUCUCCAGCAUCCUUCCUCAAAGCCACCCCAAAUAAAUAUACCAUGUGAGUAAAACCA